rfam:Gorilla gorilla gorilla genomic chromosome, chr18, whole genome shotgun sequence
GCUGGGCAUGGUGGCGCAUGCCUGUAGUCCCAGCAACUUGGGAGGCUGAGGCGGGAGAAUCACUUGAACCCAGGAGGCAGAGGUUGCAGUGAGCUGAGAUCAUACCACUGCACUCCAGCCUGGGCAACAGAGCGAGACUCCGUCUCAG